GCCACGUGACGCGGGCGGACACGUGACGCUGGCGGGAAAAGGCGGGGCCGCGGUCGCGAUCGCUGUCACCGCUGUCACCAUAUCGCGACAGGAGCCCGCCCGUCGCGCAGCCACCGUAACUGGGUGCGCUUCAGGUCCCUCCCAAGCCAAACCAGCCUGCGAUCGUUGAUAUCAAACACCAGCAUGCCCCGGUAACUGUUCUUCUCCCACCUCAUUUCUCUGCUUACUUCUACUGUAAACAGAAGGUAAAUGCAGACACAGGGCUGGAAACACCCCAAAUCUGGGUCCCUUCCACCCCAAAUCAUUCUGGGAUUCCCUAAGGAUUCAUUAGGAAAGUCCCAUUGAUCCUGGGAUAGUGCCUGCUCCUGUGGAGCCUCUCCAACCUCAAAACUGACUUGAAUUUCUUCACAACUCUCAGGGGUCUCAGGAGGAGCAGCCUACUGGCAGAGGGAUACAAGCCAUUAAAAUCCUUUUGUGGACAAAAAGGGAUCUCGACUUUGUUUUUACAAGUCAGAUGUAAAGGGAUGUGUGCUCUGCAGUGGGAAUGCAGUGAGGCAGAACUGACACUUUUUAAGUCUGCAGCUCAAGUCACAAGGGAGUGGUGACAAAACCAACUUACAUAGCUCCAGACAGCAGUGAACAUGGAGGCUCCCCCGAGGAGCACCAUGGUUCCAUAUUUAUCGUGGAAGGUGGGCUCGUGCUUGCGAUGAGCUCCUCUGACUGCAGUGUGCUGGAUGCCACGAGCUGAGCAUGUCAACAAGUACAGAAAUCAACUCAAAUACAUCCUCAAACCAUUCCCAGUCCUCAUCUCCCACCAACAGAGAGACAAGUGUUAGUGUUGAAAGACUAAAAAUGCUGGAAAAAUAUUCGUUUGGAUUUAGAACUGUGGAAUUACUCCAAAACACAGGAUAUACAUAAAUACUUCAUUUUUUUCAGCUCUCUCAAUUUCUCUCUAGAAAGUUAUUCCUUAAGUCUAAUUCCAGUAAAAAAAAUGCCCUAAGGUAACUUUUUCUUUAAUAUGUUUUAUUUAGUAUUACUGUUUCUCUAAUCAAAUAUUUUGUUUAGUGCUUAGCAUUUUUAGAUUUCUACAUGCAAAUAUCUAUCCUGGCAGUACAUGUACCCAAGCAAUGUCAGGAUGAAGCUCACCAUCAAAUUAUGGGGAAAUUCCUGCCUCAUUCCCUCGGGAUUUUUUUUUUUUUGAAGGGAGGGGAGGAAGGAAACUGAAAUAACCCAUGGGCAUGAGAUAAAUAAUAGAGAAAAAUAUACAAAGUGAUAUCUUCAAACGAUGUACGUUAUAAGUGUACACUAUAAAAGGUACACUUAUUAAAGAGAAGGCAACAGUGAAAAAUCAGAACAACAGCUACAAAAGACAGAUUGCCCAUUAGUUGUGUACAAAGCAUUUGAUGAGAAGGUGAUGUGUGCAUAAAGAUAUUACAAAAUUAAACCUUUCAGUCUCAGAUCAACGGUUUGCAUUUUUAUCCAAUUGUGAUUAGAGAAGUUGAUGGUGGUACCCAAGUUACUACAUCCCUCUUUUUUUUAACAUAAAAAAGCCUGAGUAUCUAGGAGAUACAUUUAUUUUAGUUGCCCGCACCUCGGGAUGAGCCCAUGGUGCCGCAGGAGCAGAGAACAGACCCUGCUGGGUCCGUAUCACUGAGGGGCCAACUCUAACCUUGAGGUUAAGGGCUGGGUAUUGACUGCCCCUCGUCACUGCACGCUACUAGGCCAGAAUACGCCUUUAGUACUAGGGAAAGAAAGCACCAAGGAAUGUUCCUUUAGUACUAGGGAAAGAAAGCACCAAGGAAUGUGCCUUUAGUACCAGGGAAAGAAAGCACUAGGCCAGAAUGUGCCUUUAGUACUAGGGAAAGAAAGCACUAGGCCAGAAUGUGCCUUUAGUACCAGGGAAAGAAAGCACCAAGGAAUGUGCCUUUAGUACCAGGGAAAGAAAGCACUAGGCCAGAAUGUGCCUUUAGUAUCAGGGAAAGAAAGCACUAGGCCAGAAUGUGCCUUUAGUACCAGGGAAAGAAAGCACCAAGGAAUGUGCCUUUAGUACUAGGGAAAGAAAGCACCAAGGACGAACUGAACAGACCCUGCUGGGUCUGUAUCACUGAAGGGCCAACUCUAACCUUGAGGUUAAGGGCUAGGUAUUGACUGCCCCUUGUCACCGCAUGCUACCAGGCCAGAAUGUGCUUUUAGUACUAGGGAGAGAAAGCACCAAGGAAAGCAGUCCUAAACCAAAAAGCAACUAGGAGAUUAAAAAAGGCUGAAAGUAAUAAAAAAAGCGGGAGGCGAAGGACGCCAGAGCUGUCCGCAGUCCCUGAGGUGCCCUCACGACCGUCCCCGGUGCACAGCGAGUGGGGGCUGAGGGACAGCCCGCACAGGGGAGGACACAAACCGGGGAGACUCCUGAGGAACCCCCCACACCCCGAGAGCCGCCCCUGCGCUUACCGACGAGGCUCUGCGCGGCCCUGGCCACCGGGAACAUGAUGAGAGCCGAGCGCGUACCCUUGACGCCGGUGAAGAACAAAAUGGUCGCGGCGGAAGUGGCGGCGCGGCGGGGGCCUGUGGGUAACGCCGGGCUCCUCCUCACUGCGGUGGAGCUCCGCGGCCGGGCUGGGCCGAGCCGAGCUGAGCUGGCCGUUCCCUGGCUGCUCUCCGGCACCUCCUGGGUACAGACGGGGUCUCUGUGAUGAGGCAGGAGACGCAGAGAAACGAGUAGCGGCAGUGAUGACAGUGUUAACUCUGUCCCAGAAAGGGCUGCAUUCGCAGUGUCAGGAUGGCCGAGUGGUCUAAGGCGCCAGACUCAAGGCGUUCCGCGCCUUCCCGCGGCGGGUUUGGGUGUUCUGGUCUCCGUAUGGAGGCGUGGGUUCGAAUCCCACUUCUGACACCACUUUUUUUCCCCCCUCGCUGUGCGGGUUAAUUUAAAUUUGCGAAAGCGCCAAGUUGAAAAAAAUCUGGGAUUUCCGUGCAAACAGAAAUCAGAAAUAAUUUAAAAAUAAAACCCGAAGCGUGAUGUGAAAUACAAA